GGUUGUGGCUCAGUGGCAGAGCACUUGCCUUGCACAUGUGAGGCGCUGGGUUCGAUCCUCAGCACCA
rnacentral:tRNA from 1 species